AACGAACGCUGGCGGCAUGCCUAACACAUGCAAGUCGAACGAGACCUUCGGGUCUAGUGGCGCACGGGUGCGUAACGCGUGGGAACCUGCCCUUAGGUUCGGAAUAACUCCCCGAAAGGGGUGCUAAUACCGGUUAAUGUCUUCGGACCAAAGAUUUAUCGCUUUUGGAUGGGCCCGCGUUGGAUUAGCUAGUUGGUAGGGUAAAAGCCUACCAAGGCGACGAUCCAUAGCUGGUCGGAGAGGAUGAUCAGCCACACUGGGACUACGACACGGCCCAGACGCCUACGGGAGGCAGCAGAGGGGAAUAUUGGGCAAUGGGCGAAAGCCUGAUCCAGCAAUGCCGCGUGAGUGAUGAAGGCCGUAGGGUUGUAAAGCUCUUUUACCCGGGAUGAUAAUGACAGUACCGGGUGAAUAAGCUCCGGCUAACUCCGUG
rnacentral:rRNA from 1 species